AUGAACGCUGGCGGCGUGCCUAAUACAUGCAAGUCGCGCGAACGGACGAGAAGCUUGCUUCUCUGAUGUUAGCGGCGGACGGGUGAGUAACACGUGGAUAACCUACCUAUAAGACUGGGAUAACUUCGGGAAACCGGAGCUAAUACCGGAUAAUAUUUUGAACCGCAUGGUUCAAAAGUGAAAGACGGUCUUGCUGUCACUUAUAGAUGGAUCCGCGCUGCAUUAGCUAGUUGGUAAGGUAACGGCUUACCAAGGCAACGAUGCAUAGCCGACCUGAGAGGGUGAUCGGCCACACUGGAACUGAGACACGGUCCAGACUCCUACGGGAGGCAGCAGUAGGGAAUCUUCCGCAAUGGGCGAAAGCCUGACGGAGCAACGCCGCGUGAGUGAUGAAGGUCUUCGGAUCGUAAAACUCUGUUAUUAGGGAAGAACAUAUGUGUAAGUAACUGUGCACAUCUUGACGGUACCUAAUCAGAAAGCCACGGCUAACUACG
rnacentral:rRNA from 1 species